UAGGGAAUCUUCCGCAAUGGACGAAAGUCUGACGGAGCAACGCCGCGUGAGUGAAGAAGGAUUUCGGUUCGUAAAACUCUGUUGUUAGGGAAGAAAAAAUGUAUAGUAACUAUAUACAAAAGAGACGGUACCUAACCAGAAAGCCACGGCUAACUACGUGCCAGCAGCCGCGGUAAUACGUAGGUGGCAAGCGUUGUCCGGAAUUAUUGGGCGUAAAUCGCGCGCAGGUGGUUUAGAAAGUCUGAUGUGAAAGCCCACGGCUCAACCGUGGAGGGUCAUUGGAAACUAAUAAACUUGAGUGCAGGAGAGAAAAGUGGAAUUCCUAGUGUAGCGGUGAAAUGCGUAGAGAUUAGGAGGAACACCGGUGGCGAAAGCGGCUUUUUGGCCUGCAACUGACACUGAGGCGCGAAAGCGUGGGGAGCAAACAGG
rnacentral:rRNA from 1 species